UACGUAGGUGGCAAGCGUUGUCCGGAUUUAUUGGGCGUAAAGCGCGCGCAGGUGGUGCGGUAAGUCUGCCGUGAAAUCUCCCGGCUCAACUGGGAGGGGGCGGUGGAGACUGCCGGACUGGAGGGACCUAGAGGCCGGUGGAAUUCCCGGUGGAGUGGUGAAAUGCGUAGAGAUCGGGAGGAACACCAGUGGCGAAGGCGGCCGGGCUGGGGGUGCCCUGACGCUGAGGCGCGAAAGCGUGGGGAGCGAACCGG
rnacentral:rRNA from 1 species